UACUAUUAUAUUAUACUAUAUAACAAUUUGGGUAUGCUCUUAGCUACAGUUCCAGUUCCCAGAUUUAUCUAACCCACAUAUGCCAGUCAUCACCUCCACCGCUCUAUUCUGCCUUCACCCAUAUGAUAUUUAGGGCAAGAUGAUGCUUUGAUUUGGGGGUUAUAAAGCGACAUGGUGGAAUACCAUCGAUGUGUCGGCAAAAUGGAAAUCCAAAUAGAUGAAGAUCAAUCGGAAGUAAGCGAAGUCGCCGGAACCCUAAAAAGGUCUCGAUUAGUUCAUCGUUGACCUGUGUUUCUUUAAGGCUUGGCUUUAGAUGACGGUCGUGAAACAAUUGGAGCAUUUGCAAGGUUUAUAUCAAAGUGAUUGUGCUGGGUGAUCUUUCUUCAAUCAAAAAAUGUUGCCGACGGACACAUCUGGUAAACAUCAAAGGAUAGCUGACUCUUAUAAAAUAGGUGAAACUUCUCGCGCGCCUUCUUGCUGCAGGAUCUCGCAUCGGGUAUGUCUCGUAGUUUCAUGACCUCUGAAAUAGUACAGAUGCCACUACCUUUGUAUUCUGAUUGUGAAGACUGCACGUGUAUAUACGUCACAUGUCGGGCAUCCUCGCUGCAAUCAAUGUUGUAAAUUAGGUUCUGUGAGGUUGCCUUUUCCACUUGAACCGCCACAUGUUAUUAAGUUGUUGUUUCGAGAUCCUUAGUUUAUGGAGAAUAUUAGAGCAUAUAAUAAUAUGUUUUUCAUGGCCUCCAAUUAUUGAGACACUUUUUUACAAAUGUAUAUAUACGACAAAGAGGAUGAAAUUUCGAAUAGGCCCCGGUUUUCCAGUAGCUCGGAUCAAGGCACCUUUUUCCUACUUUUGAUUCGGCAAGGUUUUACGAUUUAUAAUUGUAUUAACAUGCUUGUGUGCAUCAGUUUAACUUCCCAAUUAAGUUUACUUAUUAUUAGGUUCCUGAAUCGCAACCGCCGGACUCUUUUCUGCCAUUCCAUUCUAGUAUCAAUUCCUGUUCAGUAGAGAAACUUCACAUAAGGAAUUAGGUGACCUUAUCGCCGAUCUUUGUCGCAGAAAUCCAAAUUCUUUGUCUAUAAAUCCUCCACACUCUGCAUUCAGGGAGGUUUUACGAUUUUACUCUGUUCAUGCACAACAAGAAACUCUAUGAUUAGUUUAACUUCCUAAUUAAUUGAUUGGUAUAUACAUUGAUAAUGCCAUUGAUGACUGUAAACAUGGUCAUGGUUAAGAUUUGCUUUGUGUUGAAAAUGGCUACAAAAUUAGAGACCCAACUUUCCAAAAGCAGGUUAAACAGAUAAGAACCAAGAGACAAGACGUGCUCGCUACAAAGCCUAAAUAUCGUGCGCAUGACGCGACUACUGUUGAUAGUGCUAGACAUUACAUAUACAUAUGUCUUUGUAAUUAAUACAAUCAAUAGCUUAAUAGAAAUGAAAUACCCGCCGCAUCGCGGCGGGCAAUUUUCUAGUUAUUA